GAUGAAGAACUCAGCGAAAUGCGAUAAGUAAUGUGAAUUGCAGAAUUCAGUGAAUCAUCGAAUCUUUGAACGCACCUUGCGCCCUUUGGCUAUUCCGAAGGGCAUGCCUGUUUGAGUAUCAUGAACACCUCAACUCUCAUGGCUUGCCAUGAUGAGCUUGGACUUUUGGGGGUCUUGCUGGCCUGUGGUCAGCUCCUCUCAAAUGAAUUAGCCUGCCAGUGUUUGGUGGCAUCACAGGUGUGAUAACUAUCUACGCUUGUGGUUUUCCACCAGGUAACCUUCAGUGAUGAAGGUUCGCUGGGGCUCAUAAACGUCUCUCCUCAGUGAGGACAGCUCUUUGAACGUUUGAUCUCAAAUCAGGUAGGACUACCCGCUGAACUUAAGCAUAUCAAUAAGCGGAGGA
rnacentral:misc_RNA from 1 species